rnacentral:rRNA from 1 species
UACGUAGGGUGCGAGCGUUGUCCGGAAUUAUUGGGCGUAAAGAGCUUGUAGGCGGUUUGUCGCGUCUGCUGUGAAAAUCCGGGCUCAACCCGGACUUGCAGUGGGUACGGGCAGACUAGAGUGUGGUAGGGGAGACUGGAAUUCCUGGUGUAGCGGUGAAAUGCGUAGAUAUCGGGAGGAACACCAGUGGCGAAGGCGAUCAUCUGGGUUGUUCUGACACUGAGGAGCGAAAGCUAGGGAGCAACGGG